GAUCGUUGGGCGGUGGAGGCGCGCGCCCCGCUCGGCCCCGCCCGCCGUUGGUUGUUGGGCCGCGGUUCCCGCGCGCAGGGAGUUUAAAGGGCUGGGGCCCCGCCGCCCGCCCCGCCCUCGGUCCCACCACCCGCCCGGCGGCUGGAGUCUCUGCUGCCCGAGGUCCUGAUGGGCACCCGGCGUGCCUGGUUUCUUAAUCGAGUUCCGUCUGCUCAGCUGUUGCACGCUCUGUGAACCAGCCCUGUCAGCACCGCCCUGACUCCUCCGGGCCGAUUGUGGGCCUCCGGUUCCCCAUCUGUGGAAAGGGGAGAGUCCAGGAAGUGGCCUCCGAAGUCCCUGCGGGCCGCUCGCGGCGCGGAGGCCACAAGAGCCGGGCGAGAGUAGACACUCUCACCCUGGACUGAUGCCCCGAAGUUGCCUCGGGGAUCUCCCCACCCCGGCGACCCCGCUCUACCGAGCGGCUGCUCCGGGAGUCGGGGCAGCGCCCUACUUUGCUCGGCCCCCACCUGCCCCGGCCGCGUCCUAGUACUCGCGCCGGGACGCGCGGAGCCCCAACGUCCUCUGCCCGCCCCGCCCCAGCCCCGCCUGGCUGGCGCCGACCGCGGCCCGGGUGGGGCUCGCAGGCUGCAGAGGAAGGACCGGGCGGAGGGGUUGCCCGGCUUCCUACCCGCUAGAUGUGGCCUGGGGAGCUGCGUUUUGUUCUUGGGAAUACAGAUUCCCAGGCACCGCCUGAUUCGCGGUAGGGGCUCAAUAAAUAUUUGCUGAAUGGAUGAAUGAAUAUCCAUUGGUUAAGGGUUAGGAUUGGUAAUUAAGUUAGAACACGACUGUAUAAUAACAGAUAACUAAGCUGAAUAGCUUUUCUCUCUGUGAAAGACACACAAAUGCACAGCUAUGACUAAAUUAAGCCACAAUUGUUUAAAAACAAAUAAAGGAAACUGUACUGAUAUGAACAAUUUCAAAAAUGUAUUUUUAUUUUAAAAGGCAAAACAAGCAAUAGUGUGAUUUUAUGUAAAAUUGUUAAAGUGGGGAAAAUACGUUUUUACUUUUAGACGUACAUAAAAUAUCUGGCAAGAUGCAAAAGAAACAUGGAUCAUGGAGGGAAAUUGUGUGGCUGGGA
rnacentral:lncRNA from 10 species